rnacentral:rRNA from 1 species
UACGUAGGUGGCGAGCGUUGCUCGGAAUUACUGGGCGUAAAGGGCGCGUAGGCGGCACUGUUAGUCAGGCGUGAAAGUCCUGGGCUCAACCUGGGAACUGCGCUUGAUACGGCAGAGCUAGAGGAUGGAAGAGGGUCGCGGAAUUCCCAGUGUAGAGGUGAAAUUCGUAGAUAUUGGGAAGAACACCGGUGGCGAAGGCGGCGACCUGGUCCAUUACUGACGCUGAGGCGCGACAGCGUGGGGAGCAAACAGG